GGGGGCAUAGCUCAGUUGGUAGAGCACCUGCUUUGCAAGCAGGGGGNGGGGGUCAUCGGUUCGAUCCCGUUUGCCUCCACCA
rnacentral:tRNA from 1 species